CCUACGGGAGGCAGCAGUGAGGAAUAUUGGUCAAUGGGCGGAAGCCUGAACCAGCCAAGUCGCGUGAGGGAUGAAGGUUCUAUGGGUCGUAAACCUCUUUUAUAAGGGAAAAAAGUAUGGUACGUGUCCUAUUUUGUCUGUACCUUAUGAAUAAGGAUCGGCUAACUCCGUGCCAGCAGCCGCGGUAAUACGGAGGAUCCGAGCGUUAUCCGGAUUUAUUGGGUUUAAGGGGUGCGUGGGCGGUUUUUUAAGCAGGUGUUUAAGCUUUUGGGUUAAACAUUGAAUUGCCGUUGAAACUGUAAGGCUUGAGUUCGGACGAGGUAGGCGGAAUAAGUGAAGUAGCGGUGAAAUGCUUAGAUAUAACGUAGAACUCCGAUAGCGAAGGCAGCUUACCAGGCUAUGACUGACGCUGAUGCACGAAAGCGUGGGGAGCAAACAGGAUUAGAUACCCGAGUAGUC
rnacentral:rRNA from 1 species